rnacentral:rRNA from 1 species
GAUGAACGCUGGCGGCGUGCUUAACACAUGCAAGUCGAGCGAGAAGUUUUGAAAAGAUUCUUCGGAUGAAAUUUAAAAUGGAAAGCGGCGGACGGGUGAGUAACGCGUAGGCAACCUGCCCCAUACAAAGGGAUAGCAUUUGGAAACGAAUAUUAAUACCUUAUGAAACUUAACUAGUGCAUGCUAGGUAGGUCAAAGAUUUAUCGGUAUGGGAUGGGCCUGCGUCUGAUUAGCUAGUUGGUGAGGUAACGGCUCACCAAGGCGACGAUCAGUAGCCGACCUGAGAGGGUGAACGGCCACAUUGGAACUGAGACACGGUCCAAACUCCUACGGGAGGCAGCAGUGGGGAAUAUUGCACAAUGGGGGAAACCCUGAUGCAGCAACGCCGCGUGAACGAUGAAGGCCUUUGGGUCGUAAAGUUCUGUUCUA